UGAAAAGUCUGUAGAGAAGUAAGGGAAAAUCAAACCCCUUUCUACACAGGUUGGGAUUUGUCGCAAUGCUGUGUUUCUCUGUAUGGUAUUGCACUUGUCCCGGCCUGUUGAGUUUGGUGGGGAUUGUGACCAGAAGAUGUGAAAAUGACAAUAUUGCUGAAGAUGCCGAUUUCCACUGUAAAAAUGUUCACGAGCUGAUGGAGUGUAUGAACACAUUCUGUAAACUGUGAUUUCUAUUGCUUUCGUUGGUGUGUAAAACGGGAUUUUUUUAAUUGAAAUUUGUGUUUUUAAAUUGUGGUUUGUUUUUACUGAAUCAUUUCAUUUUCGUGUUUGCUCGCUGGAUUUAGUAAGAAGUUGUGUGUGGGGGCUUAGGUGAAGUUAAACUGCCUUUUGAACCUGGUAUGACUUCAGGUUUAUUUUACUCUAAAACCCAUUAACAUGAGUUAAGAAAAAUGUUACUUUCUUUGGAUCUCUGUUUAUUAAAGUGUGACAAUUCAGAUGGAGUGUUUUCUGAUAAGAUUAUUCCUAAUCCGUGAGUUCUUAACAGUUAACAGGUGGUGGCCACUCUGUUAAUGUGCACACCCUGUAAGAAAGAACUAUCCUUGGACUGUUCUUACCAUGUGACCCCCUCAAGGGAAAGAUGGCAAACUGAUGGUCAGUAGAGUGACAGGUACACAUGACACUCGAGUGCUGGGUCUGGAGAAGCUGCAGUUAGUAUUUAGGAUAACAGUAUAUAUAAUAUAUAGUUCUACAUUUGGGCAGCACAGUUGGUUUCAGGCUAUGAAUAAAAAUCAUUGGAGUGAAACCUAAAGAAAAGUAAAAUUAAUAAGGAAGAGCUGCUAAAAUCAGGUUUAAGCUGACACUAUCUACAGAGCUAAAGUUUUCCAUAAUAUGUUGCUUUUUUUAAAAGAAAUGCAAGAAGCUGACUGAUGGAUCCCUGAGCUGCCAGGUAAGGAUUCCACAGGCCUGGGUUUGAUUGUGAGUGACCAGAAUUGUACAAUUAUUACUAAAACAGAAACAUAGUCACUUCUGACUCCAUUCUUAACAUUUUUGGAUUAAAACUUGUUUCAGAUGACUAAUGAAAACUUCCUUUAAAACGUGAUAAAGCUCUAAUGUCAGCACGAUCCACAUGAUCCAUGUGCCUCCUAUAAAGGGAGGGGUCUGUCACCAGUGUUACGGAUUGAAUGCUACGUUUAUCUUCCAACAUAGGAAGCCUGCCAGGUACUUUCUUCAAUAUACUAAAUUAGAAGUUUAAAAUUAAUAAGGUCUUAAUUAGGACCUUUGGAUGCUGAGCUUGUGGUAGUAAUUGUGUUCAGAAUGUUUUGAACUUAAAUUGAGAUUUAAUUUUAGUAAGGAAUGUGUGUCUUAGAGGCCUAGUAGUGAAGAGGAGUUUUCCUAGGAUUUUCCUCUCUCCUCCCUUAAUUAAGCUGCUUUCUGCACUAAGGGCUUCACGCAGCAACGCACUUGUUCAGUUCCGCACAGGGGGCUUUGCUGACUGUCUGCUCUAAAACUCUGUUGGCAAAACAGCUGUGGUCUCUCUUAGACUUUGAUUUUGUAGUAACUAGGGCAUAUAGUUGCUAUAAGCUUUCAGGAAUGGGGGUGGGUUACUAAUGUCUUAUGUUAUAUGAAAGUAGUUAAAUUUAUCCUAUAUUAAGAAGGAAGCAUUAUUGAGACUAUAUACUGUUGAUUUUACUAAAAACUCUAAGAUGUCCAUUUUAACAGGCAAACCUAGCACAGAAAACCAGCUGGAUUUUCCCUGUGCAUGGUUUGAAGAGUCAGUCCUACAUAAUUGCUGACACAAUGCAACCUGCAACUGCCCGGAGAAAGAACAGUUCACUAAAAUUUGUUGUAUUUAUCAUCCAAUUCUGUUCUGUAACUGGUAACACUAGUUUGUCUGGCUUUAGAGAAUAGGUGAAUCUCUAAAACAGUAGAAACAGCUCAGUUGGGCAAGGGCCGUUCUAGUAGCAUGCCUGCUCCUUGGAGUUUUCCAGAUUAUUUUGUAUAGCCUAUUCCAGAUUCUUGUCUAAGAUUGCUUUGCUCUGUGCACUCAGAAUUGGUGUGCCUUUCUAUUUGUGUAAAUGAUAUAUAAUACAUUGCUAGUUGUCUAGGAUCUAUUCAGGAAGUGCGUGCUGUGAAUUUUAAAGUAUGGGAAGAUUGUUAACAAGGGUUUCAAUGUUUUGUUUUUUUUUUUCUGGUAAGCUAAAAUAGAACAUUGUGAGGUACCUGGUUUAUUGUGGUUACAGACUUGGAAUAAUGUUCAUUGUUUUGUGCUAAUAAAUUGUGUUAAAAUUUGGUGUACAUAUGAGCAUUUUUAAAUAAAGUUAUUUUGUAGCACUGAU
rnacentral:lncRNA from 1 species